rnacentral:rRNA from 1 species
CCUACGGGCGGCAGCAGUGAGGAAUAUUGGUCAAUGGGCGCGAGCCUGAACCAGCCAGGUCGCGUGAGGGAAGACGGUCCUAUGGAUUGUAAACCUCUUUUGUCGGGGAGCAAAAGACGCCACGCGUGGCGUUCCGCGCGUACCCGAAGAAAAAGCAUCGGCUAACUCCGUGCCAGCAGCCGCGGUAAUACGGAGGAUGCGAGCGUUAUCCGGAUUUAUUGGGUUUAAAGGGUGCGCAGGCGGAAGAUCAAGUCAGCGGUAAAAUUGAGAGGCUCAACCUCUUCGAGCCGUUGAAACUGGUUUUCUUGAGUGAGUGAGAAGUAUGCGGAAUGCGUGGUGUAGCGGUGAAAUGCAUAGAUAUCACGCAGAACUCCGAUUGCGAAGGCAGCAUACCGGCGCUCAACUGACGCUCAUGCACGAAAGUGUGGGUAUCGAACAGGAUUAGAUACCCCUGUAGUC